ensembl:lncRNA
AUGAAACUGCUAGGUCUUCUUAUGACACUGUUUGCUCUUAGCUAUGCAAACUCGGACAAACUCAUUGCUGCAACCUUACGUGAACUUCUGAACAGUCUUAAAAAUCUUGAGAAGCAUGAGUUUAAGGCUUUCGAUAAAUCAGUACAAAUCCAAACACCUCGAGAAAUACAGAAUGCAUGUGAGUGUGACGCCUUACUUCCAAAACACCUGAGGCAUUUUAUAAUGUCAGUUAAAAGUGCAGUACCCAAAAAACAGUAUGCCAACAUUUCAGACAAUGUGAAGAUACUGCUUAAAAUUGUAGAGAAUCGGUCAAAUGUCACCUGCACCUUCACAACGCAUAACCUCACAAAAGUUACACCAGACGAUAUCAAGCCUUUGAUUCAGGAUUACAUUAAUUUCAUUGAAAAGUGCAAUGUGAUCUCCAAAUAGAAGAAUCAUGCAAGUCACAAAAGUAACUAAACGGACGUACUGCUAUGGAGAUGUGGAUUACAUAUUUAUUCAUUUGAAAUGUCUAUUUGUUUUAACUUAAUAUUUAUAUAUGUAUUUAUUUGUUCGGCUAUUUAUUUAUUUAUUUAUUUUGACCAGUGUGUGUUGGUUGUUCUCUAUCCUCGAACUUGUUUGUAAAAUGAAAUGUAUCUAAUUCCAAAAAGUGAAUGUUAUCUUCAUCACAGGAAGAAAAAUGAUCAACACUAUACUUUAUUUUUUAAAGUUUGUUCUUGUAUUGCAACAAUACGAGCAUCAUGUUAGAUCCACAGAUUUUAUGAUGAACUGAAUUCUGAAUAAAAAUAAUAUUUUUAAGAUCAACUUUUUCUGUCGCCUCAUUCAUGUUUUGUCUUGAUUCUUACGCUGUAAUGUACAUACUGUUAGAAAAACGGAAAAGGUGAUUUUCUGACAGGACACUUUCUGUAAAUUUUAUUGACAUUUCCUUUAAACCUACAGCACGAUGCAUACGUCAAAAUACAGGGAAAACACCUGUGAAAAAUCAGCACGGAAAUUCCUUUGUAUUUACAUAGUACAUUAGACCCUAUUUUUACAGACUUUUUUUGUCUGCUAAAUGCAUUUCAGUCUCUUCAGUGCAUGAUAAUUAUACAUGCUAAACUGAUACAAAAUUUCACGUUGAGUUGCAUGUAUACUCAGCACAUCUGUAUUGCUGCCGUAGUGAUGUAGUCCAUUAAACUUCACUCACUUGUAACUGACAAGGCUGUGUAUUUGUUUAUCUUCCUUUGGCUUUACUGAUGGAUUUGCUGCAUCUUGAAGGAGGCCGUGUGUACAACAUUAAGUCUGAUGGAUGGAAACAGACAGUCCCGCAGCUGCUGGCAGCGUCCUGACGAGAUGGAACAUCCCUAACAACACAGCAAGACCGUUAUCCCAGAAAUUGGACUUCCUCUAUAUAAAGACUUCAAGAUCAAUCAAUUCAUGGGUCUUCCUGUGAAUAACCUGCACUUUUAUGUCCCAUUAGUUAUUUUUUGUUAAAGGUAGAGGCACAUAUCCUUUUCUAACUUAAAGGUGAGAACUAUUAGAACUCUUAUCUAAACAAUAUCAAUGUAGCAUUUAAAGCAGCUAUUUUUAAACAUCAAAUGUCUGAAUCCCCCUUAAAAUAUCGGGGGGUUUUUUACCGACACCUUAUCUAGACUUUGUCCACUACCAAAAAAGGGAGCCAUCAGCUGCAUUGCAAUUACUUUAUUUAUAAACCCCAUCUGGUUAGAACUGGACUAGUCAGAGACACAGACAAGACGUGAUGCAGUCACACAAUACACUACAUAACCCACAUUUUGUGCGUGUUAAUGCAUCACUGAAAUGCAUUCUAUGGAAAAUCCAUGCAUAACACAGUUUAGCCGGUUACUUCCCUGUUUUGUUUUUCAUUGUGGUUGUGAUUUCAGGUUAUCAUCUCAGAAAAAUAUAUUUUUGACACAGACAAAAUGUUCCAUAUAAAAGUACCAAAACAUUUGAUAAGAUGCUAUCUUGACAGUCAUGUGAGUAUUUUGAGGAGGAGUGUGGGGAAGAGAUGGGUUUUGCUGGUUUCCUGCACCAAAAAAAAAAGUGUUUUCUACCAAUACUUUCUGAUUUUUUGCUUCAGACAAACUGUCAGACAGUGCCAGACGGUGAUGACUGAAAUAAUUCAUACAAGUCAGAUAAUGAUUUUGAAACUGCAAGAGCAGCUGGAGGUUGUGUAAAAGCUCUCAACUCAGCCCUCAGUGACUCCAGACAGGUCGUCUGCUUUAAAGCUAUGAUUUAUGGGCUGAUGGUGGCCGAAUCUAAACUCACAGUUCACCGUGCUUUUGAUGAUUCUUCAGGUGUCCACUUUCAUCAAUCCAACCUGAGAAACCAGUAGCCAUGUCUGCAUUGAUCCGAAUCUAAUCCUGACCUUAAUCAAGAAAGAGCCGCAGAGGGAAAUGAUAAACCUUAUAUGGUCAGUUUAUAUACCGAGGCUUUACCAAUCACAUUGGUUAACGAUUUACAUAUGAAAAUUUCUAUUAGUAAACCUAAUUAGUAAUAUUUCCUCUAAAACAUGUUGUUGUUGUUUUCUUUUCGAGUCUAAUAAUCAGUAUUCGGAAGCAGAAACUUUGGUUCUUAGGAAACAGAUCCUAUCCAGGUUUCAGUGACUGAUGUGAUUAUAGUAAUAUAAUAAUUAAAUGCAAGCAUUUAAUGAUGCCUACCAAUAAAUAUGAUGUGCACAAGGAUCAAUAUUUAAAAUAGUGCAUGCAUGCUUAUAAAAAAAAUUAAAAGCUUUUAAAAUGCAUUGGCUGUUAUGAGAAUGUGGGAUCAAAAAAUUAAUUGUCACACUAAAAAGGAAAAAAAGUAACUUUUAAGGAAAAGGAUAUUUAUUGGCAAAGAGAAUGCAUGAUUUUUUUCUGGCAACCAAUGCUUGCUUUGAGUCUUUCAAAGCACUCCAAGAUGAGCCAAGUUGUCGCAUAAAAAAUACACAAAAAAAGUUAAUUUUAUAGCCCAUUAUAUAUCUAAUGCAUGUCUUCUCUUUUAAAAGAGACCUGUUCUCAGGUUGAAUACAAGAGUUAAUUAAGCAGCAUUCAUCUUGAUGACUUCAUGACAGCUGCUAGGUCAGUCUAAUAUCUACUCAUAAUAUAAAGCUUUGCUCGUCAAACCCACCAACAUUGUCUUCAUCAUCACAAAAUUUUCUCUCACACAUUUCAACUAAAUUGCAUGUUUGAUCAAAUUUCAAGAACCACUUUGAGAUUUACAGUGAAAAAAGUAAAAUAUAUUACAUAGGACUUUUUAUCCUACUCUUCAUACCCCCCUCAUGCCAAUGUGUUUAUACUCAACUAAUUAGAUGAUCUACCAUAGUAAUAAUUUGAUCAGCAUUUUAUCUGAUAAGCACAUUAGUUCAACAUAUUACAUGCAUCAUAUAUAAAUAUAUAUGAAAUAUGCUGUGUUGCAUGGCUUUUAAUAUUGCGAAAAUAAUUUUGCAAACAGAAUUAUUACAUUUUGUAACUUAAUAUGCAGAAAUUAGCAUUUUAAUAACGAAACUGUGUUUCUAAGAAGGAUUCCUAACAAAAAGUGACACUGGAUAUCAAAAAUAACAGCGCAAUAGAAAUGCAAAAGCAUGAAGAAACUCAUUUUGUCACUAGGCUAUAGGACUCCCCAUUAGGUGGCCUCGUUGACUUGAUUUAGGUUGUAACAUCUGACAAUCCAAAUAUGUGAGUUUUACGACGCAUUUCCUUAUUUCAGGUAUCAGCAUCAGCAGUGAAAAUAUGCAGCUCUCAAGUGAAUUAAUGGGUUAGAAAUUCAUUCAUACAGUAGCCUACUGAAGAGAAAAAAGUAUAAGAGCAAUAAUAAAAAUGCAGUCAUGUAAUUCAUAUCCUGAGCAUAAACUAAAAUGAACGCAUCAUGAAUCGUUCAAGUUCAAUCGUAAUAGAAUCGCAACAUUAGAGCGCAUUGGAGCAUCAGAGCUCCUCUGUGACUCACAGAGUUUUUUUUUUAAAUUCAGCACCGACUCUAAAACCGGACGACCUACUGUUAGAGUAAAUUCUCAAGCCCCUCGGGCUCGGACACGGCACAUCUCGGUGUGAAGCGCGUUGGUCAUGUCACUCGGCAUCGGGUCUCACCGAUCGCGCAAACGACGCGCAUUGCUCAACCUCAAAAAAGAACACAUUCAUUUCUGCAGCAUGAAGAUGCGCUGGAGUCAUUCAUCGAGGACGGACACGAAGCAAGUUUUCUUUCCUGUUUAUUCAAAUGAAUCGUUUUAAGGACAGGGCGGUUCAAAGAGCAAACAGUGCAACGUUUAUUCGGAUAAAUGCGAAACGAAGCGCUUCAGUAUCAUCGAACAGGUCAGUUUAAUAUUAGUUUUGUCCCUUUGUUGACACACAGAAAUGCAGGAACAGGUUAUUGGAAUGGAAUCUGAAACGUGUCUUUUAUGAUGUAAGGACUCCAGCACAUCGCCACUAGAUAUAUAAGAGAACUCCGGAUGGGUGAGUCAAAACGUGUGCAAAGUAAUCAAUUAAACUUUGUUUUGAUGGAUGGAGGAUCACUGAUGCUACUACAAGAUGAUUAUGUUUCUCUGAUUGGCAUGCCAGUAUAACUGGACGCUGGAAUGCAGGAAAGUGUUUUGUGCAAUGGAGUAUGAACUGGAAAUAUGAAUGUCCCACAGUCAGCGUUACCUGAGGUGUGACAGGUCUGACGGACUAUACGAGUGUUUGAAUACUUUUUA